CAUUAUUAUUUUUUACUUGCAGACAAAUAUAAUUCUCCCCAUUCUACAGUGAGCAAAGUAAGAUCAUCACUUUUGUUUUAAUUGUAGAAUUGGAACCAACGGUGCAUACUGGGAAGCCGGCUUUCACCCACUUUCUGGCCUAUCUUCUCAAGGGGACCUGUUCUGCCACUGGGGACUUGGGCCUCUCGUUUUUGAUCUUUUCUUGGCACUGUUGACAUUCUGGUCCAGGCAAAAUCCUGCUUGUAGUGCAUUUCCUGGGCAUGGUAGGGUGUUUAGUAGCAUCCAGGGUCUUUCUACACUAGCCGUCAGCAAUAGCGUCUCACAGUGACCCUUGAAAACAUUUUAGACGUUUCUAGAUGUCCCCAGGAGGCCAACACUGCCCCCUAGUGGAGAUUCACCAAACUACCUUUUUUUUGGGGGGGGGGCGGGUACCCAGGAUUGAACCCAGGGGUGCUUAACUCCUGAGCCCCCUCCCCA
rnacentral:lncRNA from 1 species